UACGUAGGGCGCAAGCGUUAUCCGGAAUUAUUGGCGUAAGAGCUCGUAGCGGUUGUCGCGUCUGCUGUGAAAGUCCGGGCUCAACUCCGGAUCUGCGGUGGUACGGGCAGACUAGAGUGAUGUAGGGGAGAACGGAAUUCCUGGUGUAGGCGGUGAAAUGCGCAGAUAUCAAGGAGGAACGACCGGUGGCGAAGGCGGUUCUCUGGGCGAUGUCCUGACGCUGAG
rnacentral:rRNA from 1 species